rnacentral:tRNA from 1 species
UGCGGGGUCGUCUAACCGGCAGGACAACGGACUCUGAAUCCGUUUAUUUUGGUUCGAAUCCAAACCCCGCAG